rnacentral:rRNA from 1 species
GACGAACCGUCCAAACGUUAUUCGGAAUUACUGGGCGUAAAGCGUGCGCAGGCGGUGAUGUAAGACAGGUGUGAAAUCCCCGGGCUUAACCUGGGAACUGCAUUUGUGACUGCAUCGCUGGAGUGCGGCAGAGGGGGAUGGAAUUCCGCGUGUAGCAGUGAAAUGCGUAGAUAUGCGGAGGAACACCGAUGGCGAAGGCAAUCCCCUGGGCCUGCACUGACGCUCAAGCACGAAAGCGUGGGGAGCAAACAGG